UUGCACUUCUUCCCGCCCACGUCGUAAUUAACUGAGAGUAAGGUUCGUCUGUUACUUCCGAGGUGGGAGGAAAGACGUAAAA
rnacentral:pre_miRNA from 1 species